rnacentral:rRNA from 1 species
UACGAAGGGGGCGAGCGUUGUUCGGAGUUACUGGGCGUAAAGGGCGCGUAGGCGGCGUCCCAAGUUAGGCGUGAAAGCCCCGGGCUCAACCUGGGAAUUGCGCUUAAGACUGGGAUGCUCGAGUGCGGAAGAGGUGAGUGGAAUUCCCAGUGUAGAGGUGAAAUUCGUAGAUAUUGGGAAGAACACCAGUGGCGAAGGCGGCUCACUGGUCCGCAACUGACGCUGAGGCGCGAAAGCGUGGGGAGCAAACAGG